UAGGUGUCGGGCGAGCUUUCGAGCUUCGCCCGGUNCCGAAGGGAACCUUGUUAAAGCCCGCCGCCUGGGGAGUACGGCCGCAAGGCUGAAACUUAAAGGAAUUGGCGGGGGAGCACUACAAGGGGNNGAGCGUGCGGUUUAAUUGGAUUCAACGCCGGGAACCUCACCGGGGGCGACGGCAGGAUGAAGGCCAGNCUGAAGGUCUUGCCGGACACGCCGAGAGGAGGUGCAUGGCCGCCGUCAGCUCGUACCGUGAGGCGUCCACUUAAGUGUGGUAACGAGCGAGACCCGCGCCCCCAGUUGCCAGUCCUCCCCGCUGGGGAGGAGGCACUCUGGGGGGACCGCCGGCGAUAAGCCGGAGGAAGGAGCGGGCGACGGUAGGUCAGUAUGCCCNGAAACCCCCGGGCUACACGCGCGCUACAAUGGGCGGGACAAUGGGAUCCGACCCCGAAAGGGGAAGGGAAUCCCCUAAACCCGCCCCCAGUUCGGAUCGCGGGCUGCAACUCGCCCGCGUGAAGCUGGAAUCCCUAGUACCCNNGUUNUCAUCGCGCGGCAAUA
rnacentral:rRNA from 1 species